rnacentral:misc_RNA from 1 species
CCAACGCUUUUUUGUUGUUCUCCCCUCUUCUUCCGUCGUCGUUCCCGCAGUCCCAGCACCCACGCCCCUUCUCUCUGUCCGCCCUGUGCCUUGAUCUGCUCUCCUUCACGAGCGACCUCAAGUGUACACGUACUGAUAUACACGAUUCCCUCCACCCCACCCCCUCUCACUGCCACACCCGCUCACAGCUCCUUCAGUAUGGCCGGCGUCACCAAGGCCGCUGUUGUGGCCAGCCACCCGAAGAAGAAUGUGGCAAGUCGCAAGAUGAACAAGAAGAGCCGCUCGAUGGCCAAGAAGGAGGCCAAAGCGAUGCGCGGAGGCACCGCUGAUUCCAAGCGUCGUCGUCACUGGCGCCCAGGCACUGUCGCACUGCGCGAGGUGCGCAAAUACCAGCACUCGACGGAGAUGCUCAUCGCGCGUAGCCCGUUCCGCCGUCUCGUGAAGGAGAUUAUGUCCACCUUCAAGGACACGAUGCAUAUGCGCCACUCCGCCCUCGAGGCGAUGCAGGAUGCGACGGAAAGCUACCUUGUGAGUUUGCUCAGCGACGCGAAUCUGUGCACCAUUCAUGCCAAACGUGUAACGCUGUACCCCAAGGACCUGCAGCUAGCAUUGCGCCUCCGUGGAGAGCGCACGUGAAGAGAGCUUGAAAGAUGGGGCGAGAGAAAGGGGAAAAAGUCAGAAAAGGUUCGGGUGAGAAUCGUAAACGGGGCGGUGAUGCGUGGAACCUGCCUAUUCGCCGUUGCCGCUUUCUUGUCCGUUGUUGGGUUACCCCUCUGUAUCUCUCUCUUGUGCGCUUCGAUCCGUACUUCCGACGCCAUCGCCGCCGUUAUCCGUCGCACCGCAACUGUUCCUCUCCCCUCCCUCUGCGACACGUGCUCAGCUAGAUUUUUUUUUCACGCUCACCUGCCUUUCGUUGAGCAUUUUCUUUUUGUAUUCAUGUGCGCGUGUGUGUCCGCGUACUCUUUUUCUUCUCCGCUUUCGCGUUGCGCGUUUCGAGGAGCGGCGGCUCUCCAUGUACUCGUCCCAUGUCUCUGUCUCUCUCUCUCUCUCUUGCUCUCUUGCUCUCUUCACCCCAGCCGAGCUCGUGAGUAUGUGUGUACGCCGGUGCGUCGGUGUGUGGGUUACAGCAGGCAAAACACAGAAAAAGGAAGACGACGUCCCUGUAGCUGCUCGGUGUCCGUUUUUGCUCAUCUUGCUGUGUCGGUGCAUGUCUGUGUGUGUGUGUGUGUAUCGAGAGACCGUUUUUUGUUCUGUUUCUCCCUUCCCUUCCCUCCCUAUCUCUUUCCUUCCUCUUCUUUCCAUGUCAUGCUUGCAUCGAUGGCCUCUUCGCCGUCCACUCGCUGCCAGCGCCGCUGCCGCAUUCCAUGCCCGUAUGUUUGUUUGAGUGUGUGUCUCUGGAGAUUUCAGCGAAGAUGGAGGGCGUU